UCUCUCUCUCUUUCUCUCUUUCUCUCAAUCUGAUUUCUAUGCUCUCUCUUAUGCACCCAUAGGUAGAGAUCUUCUCUAUUUAUAAAUGACUUUCAUGAUCUAAUAAGUAUAGAACUUCUAAUUCAAACACGCUUUGAAUCAGUCUACAACUUAUUAAAGGACUCCUACAUAAGAAAGGAUUGGCACCUACUUUGCACCCACACCCACACCCAUGUGGGACGGCCCACAACUAGCACCAUACCAGGUGCUGGUCGGCCAAGGAGUGAGAGAGUCUCAAUAAAAAUAGCACUUCAAAGAUCUCAUCUAAAAAUGAUUC
rnacentral:lncRNA from 1 species